rnacentral:rRNA from 1 species
AUUGAACGCUGGCGGCAUGCUUUACACAUGCAAGUCGAACGGUAACAGGCCUUCUGGUGCUGACGAGUGGCGGACGGGUGAGUAAUGCAUCGGAACGUGCCCAGAGGUGGGGGAUAACGCAGCGAAAGCUGUGCUAAUACCGCAUGUGAUCUGAGGAUGAAAGCGGGGGACCAGGCAGCAAUGUUUGGCCUCGCGCCUUUGGAGCGGCCGAUGUCCGAUUAGGUAGUUGGUGGGGUAAAGGCCUACCAAGCCGACGAUCUGUAGCUGGUCUGAGAGGACGACCAGCCACACUGGGACUGAGACACGGCCCAGACGCCUACGGGAGGCAGCAGUGGGGAAUGUUGGACAAUGGGCGCAAGCCUGAUCCAGCAAUGCCGCGUGCGGGAAGAAGGCCUUCGGGUUGUAAACCGCUUUUGUACGGAACGAAAAGGCUCUGGCUAAUACCUGGGGCUGAUGACGGUACCGUAAGAAUAAGCACCGGCUAACUACGUG